AGAGUUUGAUCCUGGCUCAGGAUGAACGCUGGCGGCGUGCCUAAUACAUGCAAGUCGAGCGAACGGACGAGAAGCUUGCUUCUCUGAUGUUAGCGGCGGACGGGUGAGUAACACGUGGAUAACCUACCUAUAAGACUGGGAUAACUUCGGGAAACCGGAGCUAAUACCGGAUAAUAUUUUGAACCGCAUGGUUCAAAAGUGAAAGACGGUCUUGCUGUCACUUAUAGAUGGAUCCGCGCUGCAUUAGCUAGUUGGUAAGGUAACGGCUUACCAAGGCAACGAUGCAUAGCCGACCUGAGAGGGUGAUCGGCCACACUGGAACUGAGACACGGUCCAGACUCCUACGGGAGGCAGCAGUAGGGAAUCUUCCGCAAUGGGCGAAAGCCUGACGGAGCAACGCCGCGUGAGUGAUGAAGGUCUUCGGAUCGUAAAACUCUGUUAUUAGGGAAGAACAUAUGUGUAAGUAACUGUGCACAUCUUGACGGUACCUAAUCAGAAAGCCACGGCUAACUACGUGCCAGCAGCCGCGGUAAUACGUAGGUGGCAAGCGUUAUCCGGAAUUAUUGGGCGUAAAGCGCGCGUAGGCGGUUUUUUAAGUCUGAUGUGAAAGCCCACGGCUCAACCGUGGAGGGUCAUUGGAAACUGGAAAACUUGAGUGCAGAAGAGGAAAGUGGAAUUCCAUGUGUAGCGGUGAAAUGCGCAGAGAUAUGGAGGAACACCAGUGGCGAAGGCGACUUUCUGGUCUGUAACUGACGCUGAUGUGCGAAAGCGUGGGGAUCAAACAGGAUUAGAUACCCUGGUAGUCCACGCCGUAAACGAUGAGUGCUAAGUGUUAGGGGGUUUCCGCCCCUUAGUGCUGCAGCUAACGCAUUAAGCACUCCGCCUGGGGAGUACGACCGCAAGGUUGAAACUCAAAGGAAUUGACGGGGACCCGCACAAGCGGUGGAGCAUGUGGUUUAAUUCGAAGCAACGCGAAGAACCUUACCAAAUCUUGACAUCCUUUGACAACUCUAGAGAUAGAGCCUUCCCCUUCGGGGGACAAAGUGACAGGUGGUGCAUGGUUGUCGUCAGCUCGUGUCGUGAGAUGUUGGGUUAAGUCCCGCAACGAGCGCAACCCUUAAGCUUAGUUGCCAUCAUUAAGUUGGGCACUCUAAGUUGACUGCCGGUGACAACCGGGAGGAAGGUGGGGAUGACGUCAAAUCAUCAUGCCCCUUAUGAUUUGGGCUACACACGUGCUACAAUGGACAAUACAAAGGGCAGCGAAACCGCGAGGUCAAGCAAAUCCCAUAAAGUUGUUCUCAGUUCGGAUUGUAGUCUGCAACUCGACUACAUGAAGCUGGAAUCGCUAGUAAUCGUAGAUCAGCAUGCUACGGUGAAUACGUUCCCGGGUCUUGUACACACCGCCCGUCACACCACGAGAGUUUGUAACACCCGAAGCCGGUGGAGUAACCUUUUAGGAGCUAGCCGUCGAAGGUGGGACAAAUGAUUGGGGUGAAGUCGUAACAAGGUAGCCGUAUCGGAAGGUGCGGCUG
rnacentral:rRNA from 1 species